rnacentral:rRNA from 1 species
CUAGGCGUCGACCGGCGCACGGGUGAGUAACGCGUAUCCAACCUGCCCACCACUUGGGGAUAACCUUGCGAAAGUAAGACUAAUACCCAAUGAUAUCCCACGAAGGCAUCCGAAGGGGGAUUUAAAGAUUUAUCGGUGAUGGAUGGGGAUGCGUCUGAUUAGGUUGUUGGCGGGGUAACGGCCCACCAAGCCUACGAUCAGUAGGGGUUCUGAGAGGAAGGUCCCCCACAUUGGAACUGAGACACGGUCCAAACUCCUACGGGAGGCAGCAGUGAGGAAUAUUGGUCAAUGGACGAGAGUCUGAGCCAGCCAAGUAGCGUGAAGGAUGACUGCCCUAUGGGUUGUAAACUUCUUUUAUAAGAGAAUAAAGUGUCCCACGUGUGGGAUUUUGUAUGUAUCUUAUGAAUAAGGAUCGGCUAACUCCGUG